rnacentral:rRNA from 1 species
UACGUAGGGUGCGAGGCGUUGUCCGGAAUUAUUGGGCGUAAAAGGAGCUCGUAGGCGGUUUUGUCGCGUCUGCUGUGAAAACUCGGGGCUUAACUCCGGGCCUGCAGUGGUACGGGCAGACUAGAGUGCGGUAGGGGAGACUGGAAUUCCUGGUGUAGCGGUGAAAUGCGCAGAUAUCAGGAGGAACACCGAUGGCGAAGGCAGGUCUCUGGGCCAUGAACUGACGCUGAGAAGCGAAAGCCAUGGGGGAGCGAACAGG